GCCGCUGAGAUUUUACUCCCCGUCGGAUUACUCUGGUUCUGUUGAACCGUUGGAAAAUUCAAAUAACACCUUUCCGCCCAAGAAGUCGAGACUUGAGAGCUGAGAGGGAACCGAGAAUGGAGACUCAGAGCUCUCCUCCAUGUCCCUACACGGUAACGGUUCGAAGAAACCCUCAUCGCAAAGCCAGGGCAACGCCUUCAACAAGCGUUCCUCCUCGUCCUCUUCUUUCAAACCCCAUUACUUCAGAAAUUCCAGCAUUUCCGAUCCAAGAAAUUUUGGCCAUGCAAGUCCCUCAAACCCUCCCAACUCCCUCCCCCGAAAAUCUCAGAGUUUUUCUCAGAAUUCGACCCCUCAUCACUCUUCAAGGGUCGGGAAAGUGUGGGAGUCGCGGAAAUCAAAGUUCCAAGUCCGUGGCGAAAAACGUGUGGCCUCAGAACCCUAGCACGAAGAUUAAGAGAAAGAAGAACAAGAACUCUGAAAUUUGUAUCGCGGUUAAUAACACGCAGUCGGUGACACUCUCGCCGCCUUCCCACUUGAAGGAUCUGAAGCGGAUCAAGUCUGAGGUCUAUGAAGGCUUUUCUCAUGUGUUCUCUGCCGAUUCUUCUCAGGAAGAAGUCUAUGAAAGGAUGGUGAAGCCUUUGGUGGAGGAUUUCAUCAAUGGCAAAAGCGGGAUGCUGGCUGCAUUGGGCCCUAGUGGAUCUGGCAAGACCCAUACUGUUUUUGGGUGUCCAAGGGAGCCUGGAAUGGUACCUCUUGCACUUCAACAAAUUUUCAAGCGGACUGAGGGGAGUGGUUCUGAGGCAACAAGGUCAUUUUACAUAUCAAUAUUUGAAAUAUAUUCUGAAAGAGGAAAAGGAGAAAGGAUGUUAGAUUUGUCCCCAGGUGGAGCAGAUUUAUUCAUGCAACAGUCAUCUAUAAAAGGUCUUCAAGAGGUAGUCAUUUCUGAUGUUGCACAGGCAGAAUCCUUAAUAGCACAAGGCAUGUUAAAACGCUGUACUGCAAUGACAAAUUCAAACAGCCAGUCAAGCCGGUCACAGUGCAUUAUAAACAUCCGCAGUGCUCCUAACAACUUAGAGAGUGACGUUGGUGUUCAACUGAACAGUGCAGUAUUAACUAUUGUUGACCUUGCUGGUGCUGAAAGAGAAAAGAGAACUGGGAAUCAGGGGGCCAGAUUACUUGAGAGCAAUUUCAUCAACAACACAUCAAUGGUUUUUGGAUUGUGUCUGAGGUCAUUGUUGGAGCAUCAAAGGAACCCCAAGAAGCCACUACAGAAACAUUUUCAGAACUCUUUGUUAACUAGGUACUUACGAGAUUAUUUGGAAGGCAAGAAGCGGAUGGCAUUGAUUUUGACGAUAAAGCCAGGAGAAGAAGACUAUCUUGAUACAUCCUUUCUACUAAAACAAGCUUCCCCUUAUAUGAAAAUCAAGUUCAAUAAUGUUGAAGAAUUGUCCGAUUUGGUUGCUAAUAAGAGGCAUGUUCGAACAUUACCUAGAUUUGAACAGCGCAAAAGAAUGAAGUUCAGUAACCCUGAUGCUUGUGUGAUUGAAGAAGCAAAUAGUGUCGGAGAUGAACAACGACUUUGUGUUUGUGAUGAAGAGGUCAAUCCAGAGGAGCUCAAGGAGACUGGAACCGUAAAAGCUCUGGUUCAGUCCCCAAGAAAUUCUAAAUUGGAUGUUUAUGAUAGCACAUUUCUCAAGUUGAAUGGUGUUGAAUUGGCAAAGAGAGAGAGAAACAAUCAGAUUAUGCAAGGUUUUGCAAAAGCUUUAUGGGAUGUUUUGAAGCAAUAUAAGGAAAAACUUGAGGAAGCAGAAAACCAAGUGCAGAGUCUCAGAGAAAGCCUUAAAAGUGAAAAGGCAAAAUAUUUUGAGCUAGACAAAGAAAUGAAGGAUUUGAAGUCCCAUUGUUCUUGUUGUAAAGAGAAAGUAGUGGAGAGUACUUUACCCAAGGAGAAUUCAAAUUCUGAAUUGACAGUAGAUGAUUCAUCACAAUUGGAGGGACAUGGAUCUAGCAAUAUCGAUGAGAUAAACAUGGGUGUUUCUCUCAACCUUGACCUUGAGGCUUUUGAGCAUGGCAGCACUCCAGCAAAAUGUGACUCUAGUGUGCAACAGGAGUUGGAUGCAUUUUUGCAGGUGGAAAGUUCUGAUAUGGUUGAUUCUAGUUGUUUGUGUAUCAAAGAUUUCCAACAUCAGAAUUCUCAGGUAAUUCAGGGAGUACCUUCUUCUGACAUGGUGGGUUUUGAGUGCAUUGACAAUGAGCUGAAACAUAAUGCCACUUAUAAUCAGGAGCAUUGGAGCUUUUCUAGAAAUGGGAAGAGUGCUGAAGAUUUAAAUGAGUUGAAAUAUUUGGAAAUUGAUGAUAACAAUCUGAAGGCUGAAGUUACAGCUGGUACAAAGCUUUCGAAGUCUCUGUUCAGUUCUUCUCAGUCACCUGUCAUGGUUAGUGACAACAACUGUUCAUCAGUGGAGUUGGACCAAUUGCAUACUGAAGAGGACAAGAUAUUGUUGGAUCCACCACUGAUGCCUAAAGUAGAUGUUGCAGUUACACCAGAAUGUAAGACUGGUAAUGUGCCAGAAAGUGAAGCAGAACUUAAUUCUUGCAGCAAACCAUUGUGGGAUCCACCUCUGAUGCCUAAGGAAGAUGUUGCAGUUACACGAGUAUCUAACACUGGUAAUGUGCCAGAAAGUGAAGCAGAAGUUAAUUCUUGCAGCAAACCAUUGUGGGAUCCACCUCUGAUGCCUAAGGAAGAUGUUGCAGUAACAGGAGUAUGUAACACUGGUAAUGUGCCAGAAAGUGAAUCAGAACCUAAUUCUUGCAGCAAACGAUUGUUGGAUCCACCUCUGAUGCCUAAGGAAGAUGUUGCAGUUACACAAGUAUGUGACACUGGUGACAUGCCAGAAAGUGAAGCAGAACUUGAUUCUUUCAGCAAACCAUUGUUGUUGUAUCCACCACUGAUGCCUAAGGAAGAUGUUUCUGUUACCCAAGCACGUAACACCAGUAAUGUGUCAGAAAGUGAAUCAGAACCUAAUUCUUGCAGCAAACAGUUCUUGGAUCCACCUCUGAUGCCUAAGGAAGAUGUUGCAGUUACCCAAGUAUGUGACACUGGUGAGAUGCCAGAAAGUGAAACAGAACUUAAUUCUUGUAGCAAACCAUUUUUAGAUCCAUGGCUGAUCCCUGAGAAAGAUGUUGCAGUUACCCAAGUAUCUGACACUGGUGAUGUGCCAGAAAGUGAAUCAGAGAUUAAUUCUUGCAGCAAACCAUUGAUGGAUUCACCAUUGGUGCCUGAGGAAGAUGUUGCAGUUACCCAAGUAUCUGACACUGAUGAUGUGCCAGAAAGUGAAUCAGAGCUUAAUUCUUGCAGCAAACCAUUGAUGGAUUCACCAUUGGUGCCUGAGGAAGAUGUUGCAGUUACACAAGGAUGCUACAUUGGUGAUGUGAAGGAAAGUGAAUCAGAAGUUAAUUCUUGCAGCAAACCAUUGUUGGAUCCCCAAUUGAUGUCUAAGGAAGAUGUUGCAGUCACACAAGUAUGUGACACUGAUGAUGUGCCAGGAAGUGAAGCAGAAGUUAAUUCUUGCAGCAAAACGUUGUUGGCUCCCCAACUCAUGCCUAAGGAAGACGUUGCAGUUACACGAGUAUGUUACACUGGUGAUGUGCCAGAAAGUGAAGCAGAAGUUACUUCUUGCAGCAGCAAACCAUUGCUGGCAGAAAGUGAAGCAGAACCUAAUUCUUGCAGCAAAGCCUUGAAAGCAGAGAAACCAAGAAGGAGACUUUUGCCGGCCUCAUCCGUAUUGUUGAGGGACAUUGGUGGUUUGGACUUGGAGGAUGAGAAUCAGAAACCGAGGGGAACCAGAGGUGGAAAGAAAUUGGCUGCAGAUGAAAUAAACAGAACUCAGGGCAGCAUCUCUCUCAUGCGAUUGCUUAAGAGCAACCUUCGCCUCUAGACAACCACCCUUAACCAUUCCUUGUAAUAGGUAAAGAUCGCCUACAUAGAAGAAUCACAGAGGGAAAGUCCAUGUAAGAUGCAGGUCAGAAGACCUAUGCAGGAAAUAGUCCUUGAGCAUUGCUUUACUGUGAUUGGAUAUUGUUUGCUCGCAUUGAAAGUGUUUUGAGGCUUUGCCUUUGUAUUAAAGAUUGAAUCUUUUUGUAGGAAUGAUGUAAUAUCUAUAUUUGCAAGGUACACUUGUAGUAUAGGCUACCCGUAGUGAACCAUGGGGUUUUGGUAUAUGUAAAUUAAUGUAAUACAAGUUUCUUUUGUGAAACGAAACAUAUUUUGUUAA